rnacentral:rRNA from 1 species
AAUAGAUACCCGGGUAGUCCACGCCGUAAACGAUGGAUACUAGCUGUUGGAGGUAUCGACCCCUUCAGUAGCGAAGCUAACGCGUUAAGUAUCCCGCCUGUGGAGUACGGUCGCAAGACUAAAACAUAAAGGAAUUGACGGGGACCCGCACAAGCGGUGGAUCGUGUUCUUUAAUUCGAUGCUAAACGAAGAACCUUACCAGGGUUUGACAUCCCUUGAAUUAAUCCGAAAGGAUUGAGUGCUUUAUUGAACAAGGUGACAGGUGAUGCAUGGCCGUCGUCAGCUCGUGUCGUGAGAUGUUUGGUUAAGUCCAUCAACGAGCGCAACCCUUGCAAGUAGUUGUAUUUUUCUACUUGGACUGCCCCGGUAACGGGGAGGAAGAGGGGAUGAUGUCAGGUCAGUAUUUCCCUUACAUCCUGGGCUAGAAACACGAUACAAUGGCUAGUACAAUGCGCAGCGAAGCCGCGAGGUGAAGCAAAUCGCAUCAAAGCUAGUCCCAGUUCGGAUUGGAGGCUGAAACUCGCCUCCAUGAAGUCGG